UUGCAUGAAUGAUAUUCAGGAUGUGUCUGUAUUUGUGUGUGGGUGACGCAACCUAAGGUCCUCUUUUCAACUAGAUCACACGUCUAUCUGUUCUCAAGUCCGAUAAAGUAAACGAACGUUCUCGGGAACACAACACAAAAAAA
ensembl:ncRNA K05B2.9 ncRNA